AGACAUUCUCGGAACUCUAACUUGGGUUGUAGAUGGAAUCCAGGGUGGAUGCUAAUAGCAAGGGAGGCCCCUUGUCUCAUACAACAUACUGUGCUUAAGGACUCAAUUGUCCUUCGUUUCAUGGUUUUCAAGAUACAAAGGUGGUUUCAGGAUAGGGUAAUGUUAGGGAGACCACUUUUUGUAUCACAAUUGUAUAUCAUCUUAUGUGGAAGAUGAUGUGGUAAAUUAUUUAAUACAAUUACAUAUAUUUUAAAUUUCCAUUCUCC
rnacentral:lncRNA from 1 species